rnacentral:rRNA from 1 species
AAUAGGCCCAGGCGACUGUUUAGCAAAAACACAGGUCUCUGCAAAACCGUAAGGUGACGUAUAGGGGCUGACGCCUGCCCGGUGCUGGAAGGUUAAGAGGAGUGCUUAGCUUCGGCGAAGGUACGAAUUGAAGCCCCAGUAAACGGCGGCCGUAACUAUAACGGUCCUAAGGUAGCGAAAUUCCUUGUCGGGUAAGUUCCGACCCGCACGAAAGGCGCAACGAUCUGGGCACUGUCUCAACGAGAGACUCGGUGAAAUUAUAGUACCUGUGAAGAUGCAGGUUACCCGCGACAGGACGGAAAGACCCCGUGGAGCUUUACUGCAACCUGAUAUGGAAUGUUUGUACCGCUUGUACA